rnacentral:misc_RNA from 1 species
GGAGCAGUUUUCAUUGCAUUCUACAAAGGCCCAAAAUUUCUAAACCAGAGCAUCCCGUUUCAUUCUUUAUUUUCAAUUUUAGGUUCGGUCAGUGAUGAGUGGAUGAUUGGGUUCAUUUACCUCUCUGGAGCCACCUGUUUCGGGUCCUUAUGGCUUAUUUUACAGGAUCCCAUUUGUAAGAAUUAUCUCGAUCCGUUGUCAUUAGCCACUUGGAUGUGUCUCUUG